UACAGAGGGGGCAAGCGUUAUUCGGAAUUACUGGGCGUAAAGGGCGCGUAGGCGGCCAUCUAAGUCAGACGUGAAAUCCCCCGGCUUAACCUGGGAACUGCGUCUGAUACUGGACGGCUUGAGUUUGGGAGAGGGAUGCAGAAUUCCAGGUGUAGCGGUGAAAUGCGUAGAUAUCUGGAGGAAUACCGGUGGCGAAGGCGGCAUCCUGGACCAACACUGACGCUGAGGCGCGAAAGCUAGGGGAGCAAACGGG
rnacentral:rRNA from 1 species